rnacentral:rRNA from 1 species
ACACGGUGGAUGCCCUGGCAGUCAGAGGCGAUGAAGGACGUGCUAAUCUGCGAUAAGCGCCGGUAAGGUGAUAUGAACCGUUAUAACCGGCGAUUUCCGAAUGGGGAAACCCAGUGUGACUCGUCACACUAUCAUUAACUGAAUCCAUAGGUUAAUGAGGCGAACCGGGGGAACUGAAACAUCUAAGUACCCCGAGGAAAAGAAAUCAACCGAGAUUCCCCCAGUAGCGGCGAGCGAACGGGGAGGAGCCCAGAGCCUGAAUCAGCAUGUGUGUUAGUGGAAGCGUCUGGAAAGGCGCGCGAUACAGGGUGACAGCCCCGUACACAAAAGCGCAUGUGCUGUGAGCUCGAUGAGUAGGGCGGGACACGUGGUAUCCUGUCUGAAUAUGGGGGGACCAUCCUCCAAGGCUAAAUACUCCUGACUGACCGAUAGUGAACCAGUACCGUGAGGGAAAGGCGAAAAGAACCCCGGCGAGGGGAGUGAAAAAGAACCUGAAACCGUGUACGUACAAGCAGUGGGAGCACCCUUUGGGGUGUGACUGCGUACCUUUUGUAUAAUGGGUCAGCGACUUAUAUUCUGUAGCAAGGUUAACCGUAUAGGGGAGCCGUAGGGAAACCGAGUCUUAACCGGGCGUUAAGUUGCAGGGUAUAGACCCGAAACCCGGUGAUCUAGCCAUGGGCAGGUUGAAGGUUGGGUAACACUAACUGGAGGACCGAACCGACUAAUGUUGAAAAAUUAGCGGAUGACCUGUGGCUGGGGGUGAAAGGCCAAUCAAACCGGGAGAUAGCUGGUUCUCCCCGAAAGCUAUUUAGGUAGCGCCUCGUGAAUUCAUCUCCGGGGGUAGAGCACUGUUUCGGCUAGGGGGCCAUCCCGGCUUACCAACCCGAUGCAAACUGCGAAUACCGGAGAAUGUUAUCACGGGAGACACACGGCGGGUGCUAACGUCCGUCGUGAAGAGGGAAACAACCCAGACCGCCAGCUAAGGUCCCAAAGUCAUGGUUAAGUGGGAAACGAUGUGGGAAGGCCCAGACAGCCAGGAUGUUGGCUUAGAAGCAGCCAUCAUUUAAAGAAAGCGUAAUAGCUCACUGGUCGAGUCGGCCUGCGCGGAAGAUGUAACGGGGCUAAACCAUGCACCGAAGCUGCGGCAGCGAACGUAUCACCCAAGACAACUUUACGGAGUUGACGAUUGACGGAGCGAAGCGACGUCAAAGCGUUCAUUAAAGUCGAGUUGGCUUAGGGAUACGUUCGUUGGG